UACGGAGGGUGCAAGCGUUAUCCGGAUUUACUGGGUUUAAAGGGUGCGUAGGUGGGUUUGUAAGUCAGUGGUGAAAUCUCCGGGCUUAACCCGGAAAUUGCCAUUGAUACUAUAGAUCUUGAAUCAUCUGGAGGUAAGCGGAAUAUGUCAUGUAGCGGUGAAAUGCUUAGAUAUGACAUAGAACACCAAUUGCGAAGGCAGCUUACUACGGAUGCAUUGACACUGAGGCACGAAAGCGUGGGGAUCAAACAGG
rnacentral:rRNA from 1 species